rnacentral:rRNA from 1 species
UGCAAGUCGAGCGGUAACAGAGAGUAGCUUGCUACUUUGCUGACGAGCGGCGGACGGGUGAGUAAUGCUUGGGAACAUGCCUUGAGGUGGGGGACAACAGUUGGAAACGACUGCUAAUACCGCAUAAUGUCUACGGACCAAAGGGGGCUUCGGCUCUCGCCUUUAGAUUGGCCCAAGUGGGAUUAGCUAGUUGGUGAGGUAAUGGCUCACCAAGGCGACGAUCCCUAGCUGGUUUGAGAGGAUGAUCAGCCACACUGGGACUGAGACACGGCCCAGACUCCUACGGGAGGCAGCAGUGGGGAAUAUUGCACAAUGGGCGCAAGCCUGAUGCAGCCAUGCCGCGUGUGUGAAGAAGGCCUUCGGGUUGUAAAGCACUUUCAGUCAGGAGGAAAGGUUAGUAGUUAAUACCUGCUAGCUGUGACGUUACUGACAGAAGAAGCACCGGCUAACUCCGUGCCAGCAGCCGCGGUAAUACGGAGGGUGCGAGCGUUAAUCGGAAUUACUGGGCGUAAAGCGUACGCAGGCGGUUUGUUAAGCGAGAUGUGAAAGCCCCGGGCUCAACCUGGGAACUGCAUUUCGAACUGGCAAACUAGAGUGUGAUAGAGGGUGGUAGAAUUUCAGGUGUAGCGGUGAAAUGCGUAGAGAUCUGAAGGAAUACCGAUGGCGAAGGCAGCCACCUGGGUCAACACUGACGCUCAUGUACGAAAGCGUGGGGAG